rnacentral:rRNA from 1 species
AGCUCCAAUAGCGUAUAUUAAAGUUGUUGCAGUUAAAAAGCUCGUAGUUGGAUUUGUGGCUGUCGCGUGCGGCCUGACACUUAGUGUUAGUGUUUGCUUGCGUCGCCAUCCUUGGGUGGAACCUGUGUGGCAUUAGGUUGUCGUGCAGGGGAUGCCCAUCGUUUACUGUGAAAAAAUUAGAGUGUUCAAAGCAGGCUUAUGCCGUUGAAUAUAUUAGCAUGGAAUAAUAAGAUAGGACCUUGGUACUAUUUUGUUGGUUUGCGCACCAAGGUAAUGAUUAAUAGGGACAGUUGGGGGUAUUCGUAUUCCAUUGUCAGAGGUGAAAUUCUUGGAUUUUUGGAAGACGAACUACUGCGAAAGCAUUUACCAAGGAUGUUUUCAUUAAUCAAGAACGAAAGUA